rnacentral:lncRNA from 1 species
GUCCGGGCAUCUCCGAGCCGGCCUGGGGGUGGCUGAACUCUCUUUUGCCGGCCGAAACCCCAGCCCCCGCAGCCCCCGCAGCCGAUCGGUCCUCAAGCUACAGCUCCCCUCUCUGGGAGUCCCCGCUUUUGAAUUCCCCGGGGAUGUUCCCGCUGCGGUCCGAUGGACCUCCCAGAGCAGCGGAGGUCAGGGGAGCUAGCAGAGGCGGGGACGUCCCUUGGGAGUGAGGGGACUGACAGGGGCGGCCUCGUAACCCUGCGUGGGAUGGAAGGUCAGAGUGGGUUCCUCGGUGGGGGGCAACAGCGGGGGCUCUCCGGCAAUUGUCCCCGACCCUCCGUCCUGGGGAGGGCAGGAUCAGCGCGCGGGCUGCUUUGCAUCUCUUUGCAUUUUAGUGAUGUUUGGUCCAGUCCUGGCCCGGGCAGAUCUGGGGUUCGGGCGGGUGCCGGUGGGGUAGGGCUGGGGGUGGGAGCGGCGUUUCCUGCUGCGGGUGAGCCUUUUGCCUCGGAACUGGACCCGGGAGACAUCACAGCGCUGGGCUAGGGGCGCGGCUUGAACUCGCCUAAAGAGCUGCGCCCUCUCAGUAAGUCCCCAUGGCCCCCUGCCCCCCCGCGCUCCGUCCUCAGUCAGGCCCGGGUCCUGCCUGAAGGCGGGGGUGGACCAGAUGAUCUUUCUUGGGCCCUGGGCCUAGAUUCGAGGUCCCCAGGGUCCAAGUCCUGGGUUCAGAGGGCGGGGCGCGAGGGGCGGGGUCUCCAAGGGGCGGGGUCCCGGGGUCCCUGAAAGGCGCGGACCAGGCCGGAUCCACCCAGUCUCGCGCCUGCAGCCCGUGCCGCCCCAGCCGCUGCCGCCUGCACCGGACCCGGAGCCGUCAUGCCCAAGUGUCCCAAGUGCAACAAGGAGGUGUACUUCGCCGAGAGGGUGACCUCUCUGGGCAAGGACUGGCAUCGGCCCUGCCUGAAGUGCGAGAAAUGUGGGAAGACGCUGACCUCUGGGGGCCACGCUGAGGUAGGUGGGACCCACCCUGGUGGCAGGGGCCAGGGGUGAUGGCACCCCCUCACGGCCCUUCUCUUUGCAGCACGAAGGCAAACCCUACUGCAACCACCCCUGCUACGCAGCCAUGUUUGGGCCUAAAGGCUUUGGGCGGGGCGGAGCCGAGAGCCACACUUUCAAGUAAACCAGGUGGUGGAGACCCCAUCCUUGGCUGCUUGCAGGGCCACUGUCCAGGCAAAUGCCAGGCCUUGUCCCCAGAUGCCCAGGGCUCCCUUGUUGCCCCUAAUGCUCUCAGUAAACCUGAACACUUGG